rnacentral:ncRNA from 21 species
UUAAGCGUUGGAGACUGUGAAGAAUUUCUUGUAUUUGGGCACCUUAGAAAUUUGGAGUUAGUGGUGCAACCUGCCAACAAUAAU